CUACGGGGGGCAGCAGUGGGGAAUAUUGCACAAUGGGGGGAACCCUGAUGCAGCGACGCCGCGUGAGUGAAGAAGUAUUUCGGUAUGUAAAGCUCUAUCAGCAGGGAAGAAGAUGACGGUACCUGACUAAGAAGCCCCGGCUAACUACGUGCCAGCAGCCGCGGUAAUACGUAGGGGGCAAGCGUUAUCCGGAUUUACUGGGUGUAAAGGGAGCGUAGACGGCAGGGCAAGUCUGGAGUGAAAGCCCGGGGCUCAACCCCGGGACUGCAUUGGAAACUACCGAACUAGAGUGUCGGAGAGGUAAG
rnacentral:rRNA from 1 species